rnacentral:rRNA from 1 species
GACGUAGGGCGCGAGCGUUGUCCGGAAUCAUUGGGCGUAAAGAGCGUGUAGGCGGUCCGGUAAGUCCGCUGUGAAAGUCGGGGGCUCAACCCUCGAAUGCCGGUGGAUACUGUCGGGCUAGAGUACGGAAGAGGCGAGUGGAAUUCCUGGUGUAGCGGUGAAAUGCGCAGAUAUCAGGAGGAACACCUAUUGCGAAGGCAGCUCGCUGGGACGUCACUGACGCUGAGACGCGAAAAGCGUGGGGGAGCAAACAG